rnacentral:rRNA from 1 species
UUAGUGGCGGACGGGUGAGUAACGCGUGGAAAACCUGCCGUAUACUGGGGGAUAACACUUAGAAAUAGGUGCUAAUACCGCAUAAGCGCACAGCUUCGCAUGAAGCGGUGUGAAAAACUCUGGUGGUAUACGAUGGUUCCGCGUCUGAUUAGCUAGUUGGUGGGGUAAUGGCCUACCAAGGCAACGAUCAGUAGCCGGCCUGAGAGGGUGAACGGCCACAUUGGGACUGAGACACGACCCAAACUCCUACGGAAGGCAGCAG